AUGUCACAGAAGUGGUUCAAGUAACAUUUUUGAAGGUAUCAGACACAAUAUAGUACAACUAAUAAUUUCUUUUAGAAAAAAAAAAUAAAGAGGAAAAUUCAGGAUGUAUUUAGCAAAAAGGCUUGAUGCAUCUGUACUUCUCAAGAUCUUUAGUGAUUGUCUUUUUGCUAUAAAUAAAAGUAGGGGUCCACUCUUUAAGGCAAGGAGCAAAGUAACCCAACUUCAUAGUUUAAGCCAUCCAAAAAUUCCAUUUACAGUUAUUUCCUUCCUUAGCUCACUUCUUCUUUCCAUACUACUAAAAUGCCUCACAAAAGAGAUGACGAGAACUGGUUUCAAAGGAACUCAAACCGGAGACCAAUUGCUAAAAAAGGGAUCCAUUUUAAUGAAGAAGAUGGAAUUUGGGAUCAGCUCAUAGCUCAACUCAUCCAAGAUUACCAGUGGGAAGAAUUUUCACACCCACCUGGUGAUUUUUGCCUUGAGCGAUGGAAUUUUAGCAAAACAUCAACUCAGUCACAAAUAUUUCCAUGGUGAGAGGAAGACCCAUUAAUUUUUCUGUUGAAACUAUUAAUGGUUUUUAUUUUCUUGAAGAAGUUGAUGACAGAGAAACAAUGAUUUUUGUAGAAAAUCCAAAUUGGGAUUUGGUGUAGUCAGAUUUAUGUCCAAGAGGAGCAAAUUGGGCAUAUAAUUCUGAAAGGCAAAAAAGUAAACUUCUUCGCAAGAAUAUUGGCUACUGUGGUAGGCCAAUCUUGAGCUUUUUUAUUGGCAGUAGGUUACUCCCAAACUCACAUCAGUAUGACAUCUACAUACCAAGAGUAGCAUUGCUCUAUGCUAUUUGCAUGAAAAAGCCUCUGAAUGUGAGUAGAUUCAUAAACACCCACAUGAUUAAUUGUAGAAAUGAUCCUAAUGUAAGAAGUUUAUGGUACCCAUCUACCAUAACUUUACUUUGUAAAAUAAAUGGUGUUUAUCCUAGCCCAAGAAUGGUUGUCUACAGGUAUUCCAAAUGCAUUAAUAAAUCAUUUCGGAAUAGAAUGGAGAGAGUGGAAGGACCAAGAGGAUAGGAACCACUACCGGAGGCUAGAAGCCAACAUGAAAGAGGUGUCAGACACCAAAUUGGGCAAUUAACCGAGCAAUUUGCAAGGAUGAAUUUGAGCUUUGAUAAUAUGGAGCAGAGAUUUGGGAAUUUGGAAGAAAGAAUUGAUCGGGGAUUUCAGAGAGUGGAGCAUAUACAGAUGCAAGACAUCAUUUAUAACUCAUCCAUGAUAUGUACUCUCUCAAAUAUGCAAUGCCAGAUGGCUGAAUUAUGGGGCUUCACAGGAAUGCCGAGUUAUCCGCCCUAUUUACUGGGCAGAUCCAGCCACCACUCCAAUCCGGAGGUUCUAUAUCCCUGAUGACAUUCAGACACCAGUCCAGCAGCAACCUGAUAACCCACCGGCACAACCAUUGACACCUAUUCCAUCGGAUCCAAUAUCAAAUCAUAGCAGUAAUCUUUUCAGUAAUUUAUCGGAUCUGAGCAAUAUUGAUGUAGUUGAUUUUGCUGAAGUUUAUCCAUCCUCCACAGGUGUACUAACUAUACGAUAGGGAAAUCCUCCAAAAAAGAGAGCAAAGACCAUUGUGGAAGGAAAAGGAAAAGGAAAAGGAAAGGCUAUGAUGGUGGAUGAAGAUACUAGUUUUGAAUCCAGAAGGUGCUGAAGGAAAAAAAUAGGUUUCUCAGCUGCUUGGUUAUCUUGAUAUUAGAAGAAUGUAAAUAGGUGGAACCUAGGUAACUGAAAUAGAAAAGAGGAAAACAAAAUGAAUGGAGCAAAAAUAAAGCCAAAUACAUCUGGCAGUUUGGUAGAUAAAUGUGUUUUAAUAUAUAUGAUUUUAUAAGCAAAUGUUAGUAUUUCUUUUUAUAAAUGCUAGUGGUACAUAACUUUAUUUACGUAUUUCCAUGAAUUUCUUGUUCGAUUCUUUGCCAUGGUUGUAAUAUUUUGAACUGAACACUUCUUAGAUUUUUUUUUAAUCAGUAAAUAAGUUGGCUAAACA